CAAGAGCCACGUGCAUAUUUUUGUAGGUAUUUUUAAUAUUCGAUUUUAUUUUUUCUGGAUGAGUGUUUUGGAAAAAUAUACAUAUACCAUGUGUGUGCCUGGAGCCUGAGAAGGCCAGGCCAGAAGAGCUAUGGUGUGAUGGUUUAUAUUGCUCAGCCCAGAGAGUGGCACUAUUACAAGGUGUGGCCCUGUUGGAGUAGGUGUGUCACUGUGGGUGUGGGCUUUAAGACCCUCUUCCUAGCUGCCUGGAAGCCAGUAUUCUGCUAGCAGCCUUCAGAUGAGGAUGUAGAACUCUCAGCUCCUGCACCAUGCCUGCCUGGAUGCUGUCAUGUUCCUGCCUUGAUAAUAGACUGAACCUGUAAGCCAGCCCCAAUUAAAUGUUGUCCUUUUCGGGGCAGUGGGUGUGGGGGAAUAAAGGGAGUGAGAGAAAACCCAUGUCCCGCUCUGGGCAGGUGGAAGCAGGAGGACUGCCACAUGCUUUCUACAUGGCCCCGGGUGGGUGUCUGACUGUGGGAAGCCACGGAACCCCACCUUGCCGGGGGUGGGGGUGGAGGGUGGAAAAGGGGCAGUCCUAGGUCUCUGGGCCUCGCUGAGGCCAAAGAUAACAGGUUCUCAGUCUCAGGCAUCCCAGAAACCGCUGGACACCGCGGAAGAGCUGAGAACAAAAUGGGGGCCCCAGGGGCAGAUCGGUCAUCCCUGGGGCUGAAGGGAAGAGAGAAGCAGGGAGAGAGGGGAUGCAGGGCAGUUCCUGCACCCACAGGUCUGGGGCUGGAACGCAGGAAGGCCUUCCAGCAGGAGGUUAGACACAGCUCUUUAGGGGAAAGCCUAUCUCAUCGUUUAAGCAUGGCUGGCCUUGAUGAUCAGAGACAGUCUAUGGUUUUAGAGCUUUAUUGUAGAAAGGCAGAGAGAGAGAGAGAGAGAGAGAGAGAGAGAGGAGGGGAGGGAGAGAGAGAAGGAGGGCUAGAGAUGAGAGUAAGAAAGGUGAAAGCUUAAAGAGAGACUGAGAGGAGGAGGGGCCAAGCAGCCUCUUUUAUAGUGGGCUGGGCUACCUUGCUGUUGCCAGGUAACUGUGGGGAGGAGCAUAACUGGCUAUAGUCAGGUAACUGUGGGGGGUGGAGUCUAGUCAGAAUGCCAGAAGCUUGGAACAUUGUCUGUGUGACUUAUAGUAACAGAAUUAUGGAGUUGGGGGC
rnacentral:lncRNA from 1 species